AAAAAAGACAGGACGGGAGUACAAAUUUCUAUAGAACCUGGAACGAAUAUAAAGCUGGCUUUGGGGAUCCUAGCAAAAACUAUUGGAUAGGAAACGAUGCUUUACAUUUACUCACAAAGAAUAGAAAACAUGAACUUCGUUUGGAUCUUCAGAGAUUUAAUGGACAGAAAGGGUACGCCAAGUACUCCAGUUUUGCUGUUGGUGACGAAGGAAGUAAAUACAAACUCAGUGUGUCUGGGCACAGUGGCAUAGGUGACAGUCUUAUUCAGCACAAUAGAAUGAAAUUUACC